rnacentral:rRNA from 1 species
AACGAACGUUAGCGGCGCGCUUAACACAUGCAAGUCGAACGAGAAAGUAUCUUCGGAUACGAGUAAAGUGGCGCACGGGUGAGUAACACGUGGGUAAUCUGCCUUUCGGCGGGGGACAACACCUUGAAAGGGGUGCUAAUACCGCAUACGUCCACGCAAGUGGGGAAAGAUGGCCUCUCCUUGGAAGCUAUCACCGAAAGAUGAGCCCGCGGCCCAUCAGCUAGUUGGUAGGGUAAAAGCCUACCAAGGCUACGACGGGUAACUGGUCUGAGAGGAUGAUCAGUCACACUGGAACUGAGACACGGUCCAGACUCCUACGGGAGGCAG